rnacentral:rRNA from 1 species
UUAAAAAGCUCGUAGUUGGAUUUCUGGCGUCGCCGCCCGGUCGGCCUCGAAAGGGGUUCGCACUCGUUGGCGCGCGUCGCCAUCCUCGGGGGAAGGCCGCCUGGCAUUAAGUUGUCGGGCGGUCGACGCUCGUCGUUUACUGUGAACAAUUAGAGUGUUCAAAGCAGGCUUAGGCCGUUGAAUACAUUAGCAUGGAAUAAUGAGAUAGGACUUUGGUGGUCUAUUUUGUUGGUUUGCACGUCGAAGUAAUGAUUAAUAGGGGCGGUUGGGGGUAUUCGUAUUCAAUUGUCAGAGGUGAAAUUCUUGGAUUUAUGGAAGACGAACUACUGCGAAAGCAUUUACCAAGGAUGUUUUCAUUAAUCAAGAACGAAAGUUAGGGGAUCGAAGAAGAUUAGAUACCUUCGUAGUCUUAACCAUAAACCAUGCCGACUCGGGAUGGGCGGUCGCUUGUUCAGGCUCCGUCCGCACCGUAUGAGAAAUCCA